ACGUAGGAGGCGAGCGUUAUCCGGAUUUACUGGGUGUAAAGCGCGUGCAGGCGGUUUAGCAAGUCGUGCGUGAAAGCGCUCUGGCUCAACCGGGCGAGGACGUACCGAACUGCGGGACUAGAGGCAGGUAGAGGCAGGUGGAAUUCCGGGUGGAGUGGUGAAAUGCGUAGAGAUCCGGAGGAACCCCAGUGGCGAAGGCGACCUGCUCGGCCUUGCCUGACGCUCAGACGCGAAGGCAUGGGGAGCGAACGG
rnacentral:rRNA from 1 species